rnacentral:rRNA from 1 species
UGUCCUACGGGUGGCUGCAGUGGGGAAUAUUGGACAAUGGGGGAAACCCUGAUCCAGCGACGCCGCGUGUGUGAAGAAGGCCUGCGGGUUGUAAAGCACUUUUAGUGGGGACAAAAAGCCAAAGGCUAAUACCUUUUGGUCUUGAUUUAACUCACAGAAAAAGCACCGGCUAACUCUGUGCCAGCAGCCGCGGUAAUACAGAGGGUGCGAGCGUUAAUCGGAAUUACUGGGCGUAAAGCGCGCGUAGACGGUUUUGUAAGUCAGAUGUGAAAUCCCCGGGCUCAACCUGGGAACUGCAUUUGAUACUGCAUGGCUAGAGUACGGUAGAGGGAAGCGGAAUUUCCGGUGUAGCGGUGAAAUGCGUAGAUAUCGGAAGGAACACCAGUGGCGAAAGCGGCUUCCUGGACCAGUACUGACGUUCAUGUGCGAAAGCGUGGGGAGCAAACAGGAUUAGAUACCCCGGUAGUCUU